UACAAUAAAAAGUUUGGGAUGAGUUCUAAAAAUUGCAGAGGUCUAACGUUCAAAAAACAUUAUGGACUCACACACUAUUCCAGCUCAUUAUAGAAACAUUGCAUAAUUUAUUACCACCCAUGAAAAAUGUCAGCUACUUAUUUAUAAAGACU